rnacentral:rRNA from 1 species
UACAGAGGUCUCAAGCGUUGUUCGGAUUCAUUGGGCGUAAAGGGUGCGUAGGCGGCGCGGUAAGUCGGGUGUGAAAUCUCGGAGCUUAACUCCGAAACUGCAUUCGAUACUGCCGUGCUUGAGGACUGGAGAGGAGACUGGAAUUUACGGUGUAGCGGUGAAAUGCGUAGAUAUCGUAAGGAAGACCAGUGGCGAAGGCGAGUUUCUGGACAGUUACUGACGCUGAGGCACGAAGGCCAGGGGAGCAAACGGG